rnacentral:lncRNA from 1 species
AUACCAAAUUUUAAUUGAUUUGCAAAUAAAGGGCUAGCGAAAGUAGUCUUCACUCUUCAGGCUUUUCCCCAAACCACUAUUGUGCUCAAACCCUCGCUGCCUCACACUCACAGAAAUCGGCGGAUCCAAGAAUUCUGCAACCGGCAAGCGGAAAUCGGAAACAAGACAAUGGAGACACCUAAUGGGAUGUUUGAGGUAUUGCCCGUUGAUUACAAGAAUUGGUCAUCCAUAGUAAUUUUUUUUAUGGAAAAUUUUGAAGACAUCAGUGUGUAUGCUUUUGACUAUGACGAGUGAUGUACUAUGUUGUGUCCUACAAAUGGCCACAGUGUCUUUUGUUGAGUCUGGGAUAUACUACUGGUGGCUUUAAUGUGUACUUUGUUGGUGAGCCCAAAUAUGAUGAGCAAUUUAAUCCCAUAGCUCACUCACAGGAAGUCAAAGUUUAUGAUAUUUGCAAUAGGGUAUGGUGGGAAGACUUGCCAAAGUUGAAAGCUCCCAUGCCCAAUCCGUUUGUGUUUUUCCUUAAUGGGCUGCUUUAUGUGCUUUCUACUGGUAUGUUAUAUGAGCAACCACACUUCGAGAUGCUGGAUAUCAAUAAUCUUUCUCGAGGAUGGGUUUCGCUAUCUAAUCCCUCUUUUAUUAGCAACCAUGUAAUACCCUCAAACCACACUACCAUUAUUGACUACUCCAAGAAGAUGCUAUACGUAAGGUUGGUUGAAUGGUCUUAUUGUGAUUGCUCGUCAGAUCUUUAUGGUUACAGCGUGCAUGAUCACAAGUGGCACGCUUUCCGAAUUUUCAUGUCCGAAGAAAACAUAACCUCUUCUGUCCCUAUGCCUGAUGACGAGCCGAGUCCUUUGACAUAUGAUGACUAUUCGAGUCCCACGUCUGAAUCCUCAAACCAAUCAGAACAUGAUGACGAGCGGAGUCCUUUGACAUAUCAUGACGAGCCGAGUCCUUUGACAGCUCGCACGGGUAAUCUAUUGAAAGCCAGUUGGUCGAAUGGAUGUGUAAUUGUAGACAAUCACUUGUACAGAUUUCAGAUGUUACGGUACCCUAAAGAAGAACUACGUGCUAUUCUGAUCAUUCGUGAUUUGGAGCAUGAAAUAGAGGUAUACAAUAAUGCAGUCGAGCUCGAUUAUGUGGAUGCUAUGCAUUUUCCCGAUGAUCCACCCAUCGGAGGGUGCUGGGAGGUUGAUAUCUCUCACAUUGUUCAGGAAGAUGUGCUUCGUGAUCUCUAUUCUUGUGGCAAGCUAGUUUAUAUAGGCAAGAGUAAUUCAUGCCUGAGGUUUUCUUUGGUUAUCUCGUACGCUUGUAGGUUUCGUCCUAAAAUUACUAAUCAUGUGUGUACAUGCACGUUUGACUUGGAAGUGAAAUGCGAUAAAGCAACUGCAGUUGGAGAGAGUUCAACUGUAUCAUUCAUUGCCAAACCCAUUUCCUGCAAAUCCCACAAUAUAAAUAUGGAUACAUGCCUGUUUUCUUGCAAGGAGUUAUGUAAGUUUCUCCCCCUUCCACUUGUAAUUGCUUGGUGGCCCGACGACAUUUAAAGUUUGUUUGUUAUAUAUAAUAGUGUUUUCAACACUUAAACGAGUCCAUCUAAUUGUUUUGUGACUAGAAUUACAUAAAUAAGCAGAUUCUUACAUUCCUUUUCUGGACAACACACUUGUGACCUCUAGAUCAUUCUUCUUUUUUUGGUUAAAAGGAAAGUUUUCAUUUAACCAAAUAUCAGUAUGUACAUAUGACUCAGUUUGACUCAUGAGUCAAAUCUCAAGUGAAUCAGGACUGUGACACCUAUAGAGCUAACUUUAGACCACUAAAACUGUCCAUAACUAUAAUGACCUUUAGAUCAUUCUUAUCAAAGAGGGGAGGGUAUUUGUUCUCUGUGAACUAGUCCAUUGUUAGUUCUUCCUCAAUUAUCAGUUGCCCUGGUGCUUACCAAGUUUUCAGUUAGUAUUGGAUUUUUUUGCUCUAAUGGUUUAAGUAUGACUCCUAAUCUUGAUCUUCAUUUUCCUCGAUGAGGGUGUGACCUCCUUGUUUAUCACUAUUAGGAUGUUAGAAGUUAAAUUAUCUAAGGUAGAAUCUGUAAUGCUUCUAAAUGUCUGAAAUAUAUCUGUAUUUAUCUUUGUUGUUGUGGUCAUUAUCAUCAUUAGCGUUCCCGACUGCUCAUUUGUUUGUUACUUUUUGGCCACAAGUGAAGUCAAAGAUAAUUGAACUGUCUAAUUGGCAGCAAAAAUCUAUCUGUUUCGUAAGCCUCUUCUUAGAUUCAUGUACUUUUAGAACCAUGAUGUCUUUCCUGUUAAUGAACUGUGAUUUCUUUAGGAGUCUAUUUUUUCCAUUCUAAUAAUCUAAAAGGACAUUGUUCCAAGAUGAAAUGUUAGCUUCUAGCUUAUUCGACUUUGAUUCAACCAUAAGCUACUUUCUACUAUCUGCGGUUCAUCGUUCUCCUCUGAAAGUGAAAGAUGCAUAUUCUUUGAAUAUUGUAGGGCAAGAUAGGACUAGAUAAGGAUUCAUGAACGAAAUUCCUGUUUCAAGUUGUACGGAUAUCUCAUCUUUUGCAGAUUUAAGUAAUUUUUGAAUUUCUAAGGAUUCAUGAUUUUCUUUCUUGGGUUUCCUGGCAAACCCUCCCUCUGAUAUUUAACAAUCUAAACUUUGAACUUUGAGAAGUUUCCAAGUGAUUUUGGAAAAGGAAAAAUUCUACCAUAUGUCGAUUGGAUCAUCUCGGUUUACACUUUCUCUCUUUUUCCGUUUCCUGUGGCAGUGAUAGGUUGCGGUUACUUUUUAACCUACUAUCCGCGUCAUGAAUAAUCCAGGCACAUGAUCCAUUCUUCUCUCUUCAGUGUGCAACCUUUGUUCUUUUAUAGUCUAUUUUCUACGGAGAUGCUUUAGAGUUGGAUUUUCGAGUGAAAAAUGCCUUGAACAGUUUCUCCUUUUCCUUUUAGCGGGUACAAGAGUUCAGUUCUCUCCAAAGCGGUGGAUAUUUGGUUUUAACUGAUCGCCCCACCCCAACCAACUCUUCAGAAAAAUGAAUUACAAAAUUCAGUGAUUGAAAUAAGGCGAUUAAAAAAAAACCUAAGAACGAGCAAGGAGGAUUGGUUUUCCACCUUAAGUACCGAGCAUUUAGGGGUCUAGCCUGAUGCUUUAGAGUUGGAUUUUCAAGGCUGUAGUCUUGUUGGCUUGUCGACUCUCAUUCUGUUUGGCCCUUUCAGUCUACAAACUAAACUUUAUAGUGAUUUUCUUGUCUAUUAAUUCCCCAUGGAAACUCUUAGUGUUGUGAUGCGGAAAUAAAACUGGGUAUGCUCCUGAAGUUAGUUUGCGGCAGCCUAUAGACAAUUAGUAACAUUCAUUUUGAUAUGUUCUUUUUCUAUUAUUGGAUCUUUGGCCCGCCAAGAUGCGAUGAGAAGUUUUUGUACUAGUUACAUGUCUUGGUUUGUCGGUUCCAAUGACCAUCAAAAUAGCGCAAGAUUGUUUUAGGCUUUCAACUUUUGCUGGUAAAUGGAGUUGGCCUGCAUCAGGUGAGUUUUCAGCUAGCUUAAAUAAGAAGAACAACGUCAUCAAUGACUUCCAGGGUUUCACUAACAUGAAGGACUUGUUCUUGACAAAAAAUCUCUAUAUGUGCUAACGGUGUGUGGAUGUUUUUUAUGAUGCAUUUACGGUGAUCAGCAACUAUUAUUUUUCCAUUUUUCUGUCAGGUUUUUGAAAUAUCUAGCUGUCAGUAAUUGUUGAAUAGUUAAAUAUGCUAUGAAACAACUGAAUCAAAUUGUCCGAUUCUUGCUUAGCUUAUAAUUUGGCCUUUCUCAUCAGUAGCUAUUCUAAUUUAAUCAUAUUUUGGGCUAUUCUAAUACUGUGUAUUUUGAUCAGAUGGCAAUGAUGAUUUAUGAUGUCAGAAGGUUCAACCCAAGAAUUGUCCAUGGAGGCUAACAUAAUGUAUGAAAAGCAGAAAAUUGUAUGAACUCCUAAGAACAAAUAUCUAUUUUCUUUUUGACUUUACCCUAAUCUCCCCAUUUGUUAGACUGGGUCGUUUCUACUUUCACUGAAUUCUAGCUCCCUUUACAGUAUUUAUUCAGUGGUAAUUACUUGUUGAAUGCCUCUGUAAGUCAUUGUGCUCGUUAUAUGUGACCAAAAUAUGUGCAAGGCCAAGAUGCAUCACAUAUAUAAUCAAUUUAUGUGACUAAAAUAUGUGCAAGGCCAAGAUGCGUCACACAUAGUACUCUUCUAUUAUUAUUUUUAGAAAGGUGGAUAUUUGAUAUUUAUAUAUCGGUGAGUUAACAAGGAGCAUGAAUUUACUUAUAUGCAUCCUUUAUUCACAAUAAACAGAGUAAAUUGCCAUUUGGAGUUACAAACUAAGGCAAGUGGAGAGAAAAUGUGUAUGAAAGACAUGUUUUGUAUAUCCUUGUUUGGUGCAAACACUAGAUAUUGAAACAAUUUUAAUUAUAUUGAAA